GAUUUACUUUAUUACACUGAUGAAUACCACUCCAGUUUGUAUGUCAAAGGGUUGCUGUCUGAUACUUUCUUACUGUAUACAACUGAAAUAUUGUGAUUUACUUUAUUACACUGAUGAAUACCACUCCAGUUUGUAUGCCAAAGGGUUGCUGUCUGAUACUUCGUAACUGUAUACAACUGAAAUAUUGUGAUUUACUUCAUUA
rnacentral:lncRNA from 1 species